UUACCUUCCCGUAUUUGCUUCAAUCGAUAUCAUCUCCUGCUCCCUAGACAUUAAAAAGUUCUCCCUAGAUGCGUUGCUGCACCCAUCUUCUCUCCCAUCGAUGCACCAUCGUCCCAUGUAUCCAUGAUCCGCCGUCCGAAUUCGGCUGCCGCGCCCAUCUCGCUCGCCAUGGCCGAUGAUCGCGUCCCUCCUCAAACGGCGGCGAUGAUGGAGAGGGCCACCCAGCUCCUGACCGACGGACUCGCUGGGUUCCCGCUCCUUGGGGCCAGCCCCUCCCCCCGUGUCAGAUCGUGCAUCGGCUUGGAGGGCCCUCGUUGCUGCCGCCGGCGUGGGAGUCCUGCGUGGCCGUUCAGGCUUGGGGACAGAGCGGCAGGGCCCGUGGUGCGUUCUUGUCGAGGGCUUGCUCGGGCUGGCCGGGAUCUGAGUCGCCGUCGAUGGUUUUCUCGCAGCUUGGGUGCCUGCUUUGGAUUUGGUACUAUCCCCAUCUCUCUCUCCCUCCCUCCCCCUCGGUGUGGACGCGCGCACCUAUACCAAAUCAGGCGAGCGCUCGUUGCCGGAUCACUGAACCAUCGUCCUGGUGGCCACCGCGUCAGUUCCACACCACUACAGCGACACCAACUACCGCCACUCCAUUGGCUUAGAUUUGGCUGUGGCGUGGGCUAGGAACCGUAUGGUAUUGUCUGAUGCGUGUUCUGCACUGGGUGGUUUGGUCAGCUGACGCUAGGUAUAGGCAGUUUCUGAGCCUGGUUGCUGGAUGUGGGCACGCAUGCAUGUAUAUAAUGGGUAUCAUGGUCAUGUUGCUUGGACGGGGACGAUGAUGAAGAUUGUGGCUGAAAGCUGUGGUGGUGCCUACUAAGAGCAACAGAAGUAAAUGGUCCAGAACUGAUAAACAUAUAUGUUGGAGAAUCGGAGAAGAAUAUCAGGGACAUCUUUCAGAAGGCUUGAUCAGCAUUCCCAUGAGUAAUUUUCUUCGAUGAGCUUGAUUCCCUUGCUCCUGCAUGAGGGUCGUCUGCAGCCGCUGGAGAUGUAUGGAUAUAGUGGUUUCUCAUGUAUAAUUAACCUCAUAAAUGAGGACAAGUGCCUGACGGAGAUGCAUAUGUUUGGCAUUCUAUCAGUAACAUACACUUGUGCUAGCUUGCAGUACUACAUUUUGUGGUGCGUAUGUAUGGCUAUGCUUUUGAUUUUUUUCCCUAUGCAUUGUCUUGAUAAAGUAUAGAGCCUGAUGAGCAACGAUGCCGUAAUAGAAGAAUUUAUAUCCAGACUGAACCCCACAAUGCGAAUUUUCAAUAAGAUAUACCAUCUCGAUGCUCAUGGUUUCUUCAGCAUAUAUAGUCUCUACUAUGUAUUCUCUGGGCAACCAAGUUAAUUGUGCAAGAGCCAUUAAAUAUAUAUUAUACUUGCAUAUAAAUAAUUCCUUUUUAAUUGUUGCUUGGUGAUUGUGUCUCUCGUAGCCAAUUUCUAGAAGAAUUGAACGUAUGGUAACAUUACAAGAAUAAUCCAAGUUCCUUUUACUAUUCUCGCUACAGCAGACUAUCCUGGAUUUUUGAAAUUAUAGAAUUACUAAGUUCAUGUUGACUAGGGACCAAUUCCGGAUGCUUGCAAAUUGUUAGAAUUUCACCGCUCUUCAUUUUGUCUAGCAUUUGGUGUGUCCUCUAACUUUUAUAUAGCUUUCUGGCUAUAAACUACAUGCACUUUGUAGUAAAUUAUUUCUUUAGAUUAAUCUAUCAAUGUUGUAUAUACAUUCUUGGCAUAAAUUGAUGCCCAGUCUUGUGGCUGACUUUCGGUAGAAAGAAUGGUCCUAAAUCUGAAAUUCGUUGAUGGACCUAGAGCAAUCCGUUGUGAUACAAUAUUGCGUGAAGUUAUUUUUUGUUCAAAUUAUGAUUUUUGACAGCAGUGUAUAAAUUAUAAAUAGCUAAUAUGAGCUAUUCAUGAUUGGGUAGGUUUCUAUCAGUCAUUAUUUGUCUCCUCUACCAUAAAAAUAUUUCUCUUCUCAGUUAUGUUGAGGUGAAUGCAGCUGCUGGUCAUCCUUUAUCAAUAUAGGCGGAUGAAGCAGAUUAUGAAGAAAAUGAACCUGAAGAUGGUUUCUCAGUAUGAGAGUCUGAUUAGCAUUCUCUCCAAGAAUGGAGGAAAAUUGUUUGUAUGUCAUUAACCCUUUCCUGUGAAGAUUUUCAGAAUCAUAGAAGAUAAUAUUCAGGUACGUGUACGUCUGCUCGAACGCAAUCACAUUCCAAAAUAGCGACUUGCUAGAGUCGUUGAGCUCCAGCUAUGGGAUCUCCAACACGCCAUAGGCGAAGUUCAAGUCUAGGAAGCUCAUCACCAUCUCUCUUAAAUUUGACUGACCUGUGUUCCAGCUAUUUUUUGAGGUACAGGCGGACAGGCUUCAUGUUCAGGAAUUUGACACACAUGAUGGAGACUUAAUGGAGAGAGUCCAUGACUAAUUACUUUUUCUUAGCGAACACUGUGGUUAAUUACUGACACUUUUUACUGGCUACUGCAUUCUAUUAGUCAUACAUAGAGCCAUACUGAGAAAUUUCUAUUUCAAGGAAGAAGUAGGCACAAGUAGACUGCGAAACACAAAAGAACGGGAGAUGUCAUGCUCAGCAGCGACAACACCAUUGCUCUUCAUGUUUUCAGUUUGAUCUGUAAUUCUGUAUUAAUUCAGAAUGAUUAUUCAAAGAUUGGUGGUUGUUAGGUACCUGAAGUUAAUGUGAGAGGAAGGAGGACGAGUGGUCUUUUCAUUUCCUUUCACAAAUUAGUCACAAGUUAAAUGCUGAGUGUGUGCAUUUGCUAAUUU